GUUCCUAUGGUCUAGUGGUGAGGAUACUUCGUUGUGGAAUUAGUAAGCACCGAAGAGGCCCGUGUUCGAUUCACGGUGGGGACA